CACAAGAUUUACACUAGAUAUCAUCAACAUCUCUAUAAAAGGAUUUUUGUGCAGACUCCAAAACACACACACACAUACAAAUUACCAAACACCCUCCUAAUUUCUUUUUAUACACUCACACAAAAAGAAAACACAGACUUUAUUCUAUGUUUCCCCCUCCCUCUCGAUUUUUCAUAUACAACAAACACAAACAUAACCCAAAAGAAACUCACAGAAAUUCCUUUCUUCAUAAACAAAACUCAACACCAGACAACAAACACACUCACACUUGAUAAGCUCUCACCUCUCCCUCUCGUCUGCAUAUGACCCGACACCGGCGACCGGAGAAAAUCCGGUGACGGUUCCUUUUUCCGGCAACACGCGACACCCCCUGUUACAGAUUCAACGGCCGGCCACCACACUUGGGUGGUGGCGCACGACGGUGGCAGAAUCGACAGAAGAGGAGAGAGAGAGAGAGCGGCAUCGGAGGGGGAGGGUAACGACGGAUGGCGGUGGAGCUCCGCAGCUGAUAUUGAUGAUGACGAGUUACGAUGAUCGACGGUGGUGACGUUUGGAUCUCCGACAGCCAUACGGGAGUGAUCGAAGAACGGCGGUGGUGGCCGAUGAUGGCCGUGAGCGACGUCGGAGACACCACCAGGCAGUGGUGGUGGCUGUGUUAAGCCAGUCCUUUUAUUUUUUUUCUUUUGUGUCGCUCCUUGUUCGAUUGAGUCACAAGUUGCGGGUCUGGUCAACCUGGUCAAAGAUAGUCAACGGGACUCGGUCCGGGUCAACAGAUGAGCUCGGGUCAGCGGUCAAAGUUAGUCAACUCAGUCAACGGCUCAGUUCGGUUCAGAGAUUGGUUCGGGUCGACUAGGUCAAACUGAGUCAACACGGUCAACCCGAGUCUACCCGGUUGACUCAGUCAACUCAACCGGUCAACUUAGUGAAACUGUCUGAUGUUUCGACGCGAAAGAAGUGGUAAAGAAUUUUAGUGGCGCGAGUUUUUAUGUCGUUUUAAUAAUUCUUAUGCUAUUAACGUGAACGAGCUCGAACCGAAUUAUUUAGCGACUAUUUAUUUCUUUAUUGGUACAAUUGACGUAAUUUGACA